rnacentral:rRNA from 1 species
UACGUAGGGUGCGAGCGUUAAUCGGAAUUACUGGGCGUAAAGCGUGCGCAGGCGGCUUCGCAAGUCAGACGUGAAAUCCCCGGGCUUAACCUGGGAAUGGCGUUUGAAACUACGGAGCUGGAGUGUGGCGGAGGGAGGUAGAAUUCCACGUGUAGCGGUGAAAUGCGUAGAUAUGUGGAGGAAUACCGAUGGCGAAGGCAGCCUCCUGGGCCAACACUGACGCUCAUGCACGAAAGCGUGGGGAGCAAACAGG